AAAGGCCNACCGAAGCGUCUACCUAGGGCAGCAUUNUCGGACUACUGGGUGUAAGGGAGNGNAGGCGUUUCGAUAAGAGGGCAGUGAAAANCAUGGGCUCAACCCAUGAACUUUUUUAAAACUGUUUUUCUUGAGUAGUGCAGAGGUAGAUGGAAUUCCCGGUGUAGCGGUGGAAUGCGUAGAUAUCGGGAGGAACACCAGUGGCGAAGGCGGUCUACUGGGCACCAACUGACGCUGAGGCUCGAAAGCAUGGGUAGCAAACAGGAUUAGAUACCCUGGUAGUCCAUGCCGUAAACGAUGAUUACUACGUGUUGGGGGAUUGACCCCCUCAGUGCCGCAGUUAACACAAUAAGUAAUCCACCUGGGGAGUACGACCGCAAGGUUGAAACUCAAAGGAAUUGACGGGGGCCCGCACAAGCAGUGGAGUAUGUGGUUUAAUUCGAAGCAACGCGAAGAACCUUACCAGGUCUUGACAUCCGAUGCAUAGCACAGAGAUGUGUGAAAUCCUUCGGGACAUCGAGACAGGUGGUGCAUGGUUGUCGUCAGCUCGUGUCGUGAGAUGUUGGGUUAAGUCCCGCAACGAGCGCAACCCUUAUUGCCAGUUACUACGUUAAGAGGACUCUGGCGAGACUGCCGUUGACAAAACGGAGGAAGGUGGGGAUGACGUCAAAUCAUCAUGCCCUUUAUGACCUGGGCUACACACGUACUACAAUGGCGUUAAACAAAGAGAAGCAAGACCGCGAGGUGGAGCAAAACUCAAAAACAACGUCUCAGUUCAGAUUGCAGGCUGCAACUCGCCUGCAUGAAGUCGGAAUUGCUAGUAAUCGCGGAUCAGCAUGCCGCGGUGAAUACGUUCCCGGGCCUUGUACACACCGCCCGUCACACCAUGAGAGCCGGGGGGACCCGAAGUCGAUAGUCUAACCGCAAGGAGGACGUCGCCGAAGGUAAAACUGGUGAUUGGGGUGAAGGGGUAACAAGGUAGCC
rnacentral:rRNA from 1 species